rnacentral:lncRNA from 1 species
AUGUGUGACGGUAGGAACCAUCGUGUCAUCUAUUGCAUGAAAGCUCUGUUGUUUUUUCGUUUCUUCAUCAAGUUAUAAUGUUCCCUUUUCAUCUCUUUUGCAAACUAGCUAUUGGGAAAUCAACUGACCAAUUCUGUAAAAAGUUGUUAUGCGGGUGCCUUUUGACCUUUAGGUUAAUUAGUUGACAGGGAAACUUUAGUAUUUACAUUUUUUAAAAUCUAUAUGGUAAUCUUCCCACAAAAUAAAUAGCAAAAACUAUAAACAGUUAGCUAUGUUUAUAGGAGAAUAGUGGUGGAUAGUUGGCACGCUUGAUUUGAUUUUGAUUAUUGUUUUUUAAUAUUGAACUGAGCAUCUUGGUAGAAAAAUAUACUCUUGAAAGUAUGUAUAUUUGUAUUUUUAUCUAUAAAAUCAUGUCAGGUGGAUAUUUUUUUUUCUGGUCGGUUCUGAAAAACGGUUUUGUGAUUAUUGAUUUCGUUUCUGGAUUGCCGGAGAUUUAAGAACUGUUUUUCGUUUCGGUCCUAAUACACAAAAACAGCGCAGUCCUAGUUUGAUCUA